rnacentral:lncRNA from 1 species
GCAGGGCCUCGAGGAAGUAGGUGAGCUUCUCCAUCCCUGUCUGUCUAGAUGCAGAGAACCCAAAGCCCUGCAGGAUGGCAAAGCUGCAACAUGGAAGUCACCCGGAUCACCACGUAAAGGAAAUCUCUCCAACCAGGAACAAACACCUGCCUUGCAAUAUUAGGUGUCUGCCUCCUGCCCCGGUCCACAGCCAGGAGCCCCGGAGCCAACGGCCAGCCUGGAAGACUUACAGUUCUCCCUCUGAGGGUUGCUGUGGCUUUCCAUGUUGUGGUGACUAAGUCCCUGUGUUUCUGUGCAGUCCCUGCUUCCUGGGACCAGGGAAGAAUGGUCCCGUGGCCACCAGACUUUCUCUGCUUGUAUCCUCCCAGGACCACAGAACUCAUCGCAUCCCAAGGCAGCCUAUUCCAUCAUGGAUGAGCUCAAAGUGUUUGAAAGUUCUGCUUUAUCAAAACUCUUGAUGGCCUGCUUCCCAUCCUCCAUCCUGGAAGACUGAUCUGAAACCCCAGGAGGAGGUCCUCUGAGCCCUGAGGCAGAGAUCUCUCACCUGGAAGAUGGGUCUAAUGACUGCGCCCCACACACACCAGAGAGGACUGCAGAUAGUGCGGGAUGAGAGGAAGAUCUCUGGCCCUGGAGACAGCAUCAUCAAGCGAAAACGUAUGAGGAAGAAAAUAGCAGAUGAGAAGAAUCAACCAAAUUCCGGAAGCUGGAAGGCAGAUGGAAGAAGGCCCUUGAAUGAUGCCAGCACCUUGAUAUUGGACUUUCCAGCCUCCAGAACCAUGAGCCAAUACAUUUCUGUUCCAUAAAAAUUACCCAGUUCCAGGUAUUCUGCUAUAGCAGCACAAAAUGGACUAAAACAAUGUUGGCACAAGACUCAGUGCUGGGCCUGGCAUGCAACAGGUCCUUGGAGUGGCGUGCUGUGUGGAUAAUGAAUAUUGGGGAAGGCAUCUCUCUCCAGCCCCUCUCAAGCUUUCUGUAGUCACUGGUCCACUCUGUAUUGCUAUGAAGAAGCUCAAGACCAGCCUGUAUCACUCGGGGUCCUGGCAGGAACCAGGUGCCACACUCAAACUGAGUAAUUGAAGAGGGUUUAAUAUGGGAGUUAUUUACAUAGGUGUGGGCUGGUGUAGCUGCCCAUAUGCCCUCAAAAUCACCUCUACAUGGCAAUAGCUACUUACUGCUAACAGAGUCUCUCUCUCAUUGCUGCAAAUAUUUUCUAGCCAUGCAAGAAACUCAGCCGGUCAUGUUGAACAAACUAAGAGUGCCAGGAAGUUAAUGUCCUGGAAGCAUUGCCAGAGGGGAGGGGGCAGUUAGAUUCCCCAGCUUCCUCGCUCCUCUGCUGGGUUAAGCCUGCAACAUAUUCAUCAUCUCCCAGAGUGCUGCCCAGGGAUAGAGCUCCAGGUGCUCAGUGUGGUGACCUGCUCAUGUCAGCUUCUUCCCCUUUCCUGUCUUGUUUCGCACCCACAUCCUUCCCAUGUUUCCUCUUCCCAAAUAAACUACUUGCAUUGAAAUCUUUGUCUCAGGCUCUGCUUCUGGGGAAACCUGAAC